rnacentral:sRNA from 1 species
GGAAUUAGUGGGUUAGACAUUUCAUCGAACACCUUUUGGGUGCAGAAAUGUCUGGGCUCAAAUUCCUGUUGAUCAGAAAGCAAUAGGCAUUAAGAACAACUAAUCUAGAAGGGAUCUAUAAAUCAAACUCAACAACCUAGCACACUGAGAAUUCUAAACUACUCUAACCCAUCCUCAGAAACCUAGUCACUACUCAGACAUAAUUGCAGAAAGCAUAAACGAUGAUAAGAAUGAAAACAUGAUAGCAACAGAGUGAUAGCAAGAUGAUAACAGGAUGAACAACUUAGUAAACAAA